GGGGAAUAUUGCACAAUGGGGGAAACCCUGAUGCAGCAACGCCGCGUGAGUGAUGACGGUCUUCGGAUUGUAAAGCUCUGUCUUUAGGGACGAUAAUGACGGUACCUAAGGAGGAAGCCACGGCUAACUACGUGCCAGCAGCCGCGGUAAUACGUAGGUGGCAAGCGUUGUCCGGAUUUACUGGGCGUAAAGGGAGCGUAGGCGGACUUUUAAGUGGGAUGUGAAAUACCCGGGCUUAACCUGGGUGCUGCAUUCCAAACUGGAAGUCUAGAGUGCAGGAGGGGAAAUCGGAAUUCCUAGUGUAGCGGUGAAAUGCGUAGAGAUUAGGAAGAACACCAGUGGCGAAGGCGGAUUUCUGGACUGUAACUGACGCUGAGGCUCGAAAGCGUGGGGAGCAAAC
rnacentral:rRNA from 1 species